CCCGGCACAAGCGGUGAGCAUGUGGUUUAAUUCGACGUAACGCGAAGAACCUUACCAGGGCUUGACAUCUUCUGACUGCUUAAGGAACUUAAGCCUUCCGGGAGUUUACUUUCCGGACAGAAAGACAGGUGGUGCAUGGUUGUCGUCAGCUCGUGUCGUGAGAUGUUGGGUUAAGUCCCGCAACGAGCGCAACCCUUGUCUUUAGUUACCAUCAUUCAGUUGGGGACUCUAGAGAGACUGCCGGUGAUAAACCGGAGGAAGGUGGGGAUGACGUCAAAUCAUCAUGCCCCUUAUGACCUGGGCUACACACGUACUACAAUGGCGCAUACAACGAGCUGCGAGAUGGUGACAUCAAGCGAAUCUCUUAAAAUGCGUCUCAGUUCAGAUUGGAGUCUGCAACUCGACUCCAUGAAGUCGGAAUCGCUAGUAAUCGCGGAUCAGCAUGCCGCGGUGAAUACGUUCUCGGGGUUU
rnacentral:rRNA from 1 species